rnacentral:lncRNA from 1 species
UCUUUUCUCUAACUGACUGGGAGAGAUAUCCAGUUUACUUCAAGACAUUUGUGAGAACUUCUGGAUGUACUUUUCUAUUCUUGAGAGCUUCCAUCACUUAACAGACUGUCACAGUUCGGGUAUAAAUUAAUUAUUUGAAAGCAACUGAAAAAUGGAGCCAGACAUAAUUCGAAUGUACUCUUCAUCCCCACCACCACUAGAUAAUGGAGCAGAGGAUGAUGACGAUGACGAAUUUGGGGAAUUUGGUGGAUUUUCAGAAGUUAGCCCUUCUGGCAUAGGGUUCGUCGACUUUGAUGCACCAGAUUUUACUCAUUCCAAGGAAGAGUUUAUACCUUCAAAUCAUUUUAUGCCAAUUCAUGAUUUCUCAGAAAAUGUAGAUAGCCUUACAAGCUUUAAGUCCAUGAAAAAUGGUAAUGAUAAGGAAAUCACUGCUGAACUUUCUACUCCUGUGAAAGGACAGUCUGAUGUUUUACUUUCAACCACCAGCAAAGAAAUAAUUUCAUCUAAAACUUUAGAUACUUCCAUUGAUGGCAUGGAAAGUCCAGGAGAUUUAAAUAAAGUAGUAGAGCAGAAACAGAAUGUUGGAACACCUGAAAGUUUUUCUCUAGGAGAUUUUAGAACUGAUACUAACAUAGUUCAUCAAAACAAACAGUUAGAGAACUGCAAUGGUGAAAAGCCUCCUUGUCCAGAGGUUCUAACAAAUGGGUUUACAGGGUUGGGAACUGUAAAUCCACAUGGAACAGAUGAUCUGGACAGUGUAGCUGAUUCAGAGGAACAGAAACCUCUUAGCACUCCUAGCACUGAGUAUAAUUUAGACUCUGCGCCUAGCCCUGCUGAAGGAUUUGCAGAUUUUGCUACAUUUUCCAAAAAGGAAAGAAUACAACUAGAAGAAAUAAGCUGUGCAGUUUUAAAUGAUAGAGGUACACUAACUGUUCAGGAAAACAACAAAAUUAACAGAGUUGAUAAAGUGAAUUCUAUAAAAGAAGUGUCUUUGGAUAGAAGCUUUGAUGAUAAAGGAGAUACUGAUGGAGAGGAUACUUGUGUUUCAGAAAUAAGCAUAAUAUCUAACAGAGGUUUCAGUGUUGAAAAAGAAGGCCUUCCAACACUGCAAUCAAAGUCAUGGAGUUUGGUAGACUCAGCUGAUGAUUCAGAAGCCAUUAGAGAACAGUGUAGAACUAAGGAAGAACUUGAUUUAUUUUCUGCUAAAUGUGCUGACCUAUGCAUGGAUUUUAUUAAAACUUCUGAUGCUGAUGAAAUUGAUUCUUCCGAAGAAGAAAAAAAGUUUACUAACUCCCAAACCCUAAGCACUGAUCCCACAGAAGAAAAUGUUUUGGGUGAUUUUGUAAGUGUAAAAAAUGGUGAAAGCAGUCAUGAGUUUGUAACUUGCAGUGAUACCAAUGAGGAUGAUUUUGGUGAUUUUGGCACAGCCAGUGGCACCACUCCACCCCUCAUUACUGGUACUCAAGAUUCAAUGAGUGAUAUCACUUUUGAAGAGUCUUUAGAGCACUUUCCACAUUUCAAUGAACCAGGUGAUGACUUUGGAGAAUUUGGGGAUACAAAUGCUACUUCUUGCCAAGAGGAAAUGGUAUUUAGUGAGUCAGACCUAAAACAUACUUCUGAUAGUUUAUCAGAGGAAUGUCAGAUGGCAAGAAAGUCAAGUGAAGCUGGCACAGAACCUGUUUCAAAACUGAAAAAUGGGCAAGACAGUGAGUUUGGAGAUUUUGAUUCUGUGCCAAAUAUUCAAGAUGAUUGCAAUGCUUUUCAAGACUCUGAUGAUUUUGCGGACUUCAGUUCAGCUGGUCCUAGCCAAGUUGUAGACUGGAAUGCUUUUGAGGAUGAGCAAAAAGAUGGCUGUUCUUGGGCUGCUUUCCGAGACCAACAGGCUACUGAAGCUCAUCAUCGAAAGGAAGUCUGCCAGUCACAUAGGACAGAUGAAAAUAUUGAGACUCUGGGAACCCCCAAGAUGCGCAGUGCCCCUUUGGCAACUUCCAGAAGAACAGUUGCUAGUGGUCAUUUACAGGAAUCAGCCACUUCAGUUCAGACAGCUUUACUAAACCGCCUGGAGCAAAUUUUUGAAGGAUGUUUUCCUUCCAUAUCUGUCCCUGAUGCUGAAGAGGAAGUUACUUCCCUGAAGCACUUGCUGGAGACAAGCACCUUGCCAAUAAAAACAAGAGAGGCCUUAGCUGAAAGUGGGUAAGUAGUAGACUUUUUUUAUAUAGCAUGUGGUCUUGUAAUUUUAGCUGUUAUAAGAUUAUCUUACAACUUAAUGUUUAAGACCUUAAUGGCCUUAAAAUUUCAGUAUAUAUUGAAAUUUAAUCAUGUGCUAACAUAUUGAAAAUACUCCUCUACUUUUGAGCUAUUUUGAUAUAAAUCAAUAUUCUAAUCAGUGUUAUAUAUUCAUUUAACUUCCUAGUAUGAUCAAUGAGAAUUUAGAUUUUACCUGUAUUAUUCUGCCUUCAUCUUCCCAAUAUACUUAAAUUGACAUUUUUGAUUAAUUUUCUUUUUUGUAUUUUGAAUAUUAUAAUCAUGUAAAUUUUGUUCAGUGAACUUUGUAGACUUUGAGCAGCCCUAUUCUGAAAAUGUAAAAUUUGAAAGCCAAAAAUUUUUGAACCUUAAUGUGCAAUACUCAAAAAGUUCUCAAUUUUGCUUGGACACAGUGACAUAUUCCAUUUGUCCCAGUACUCAGGAGGAUCAUAUGAGCCCAGAAGUUUGAGGCUAGCCUGGGCAUCACACACUCACACACACACACACACACACACACACCCCUACCCACCUACCCACCUACCCCUUCAGUCUCAAAAAUAUUUUUUUCCCCAAUUUUAAAGCAGUUCAGCCAGGGAUUUAGCUCAAUGGCACCAUGCCUGUCUCCCAAGCACAGGGUCCUGAGUUCGAUCCCCAGUACUGAAAAAAAAAAAUUUCAUAUUAGGGAUGCUGAAUUGCUAAAGUCACUGCAAAUAUUCCAAACACGUGUUUCCUUAUCACAGUUUUUACUUGUGAUCAAGCCUAUCGGAUUAUCUGUCAUUUUUGAGGGGGGGGGGUUGUCCCCCUUCUAUAGUCUUCCUAUCUAGAAUGGUUUCAGUCUAGGCCUCUUACAUAUGUGUUUUCUUGAGAUUUCUCUUUGGUCAGAUCCCAUUUUGGUGGAGCACAUCUUCUAAUAACCUCCUGAGGGAAAAAUAUAUGAGAAAUAAAAACAUUUUAUUUUAUUCUACUCUCACAUUAAGCUUACAGUUUAAGAUCUUUGUUGUUAAUGUUCUAAAAUUUUACGUGAAGUAUCUUGAUGUAUUGGUUUUUCUACCCAUUGCAUUGAUGACUACUGGGUAGGACCUUUUUUUUUUUUUGUACCGGGGAUCGAACUCGGGUCCUUGCGCUUGUGCAGCAGGCAGCAAAACCACUGAGCUAAAUCCCUGGCCCCAAGGACCAUUCUUUUAUAUUGUAUCUUGACAGUUAUUCUUCCAUGAUCUCUGUCUUCUCUUUCUGGAACUUCUGUAUUUAUUGAAUGCUAGAGGGUCUAGACUGGUUUUCUGAUUUUAAUUUCAGUUAUUCUUGAGCCAUUCUUUUGCAUUUUAUCACUCUCCACCUCUGGAAGCAUCCUUUCCUUCUGCUAGUAUCUCCUUGCAUUCAUCUCAGUCAGUUACUACUCCUUCAUCCUUCUUUGUGACCUCAGUGUCAAAGGGGUUUAGGUAUCCCUUGAUUUCACUGAAGAUUGAGAUUGUGUUUCUGUUUCUUGGUUUUUGUUUUGCGAUGAUUUCUGAGGAAAGAGGACAAAAAACAAGUUUGGUUUUCUACCUUAAAACUGUUUAAAAUGUGUGAUUUUUUUUUUUUUUAAUGUGAGUUCAUACUCUUGGACCCAAUUAUCUUUCUCUGAGAGAGUUUUUUUGGCAGGGGGGAGACAAGGUCUUGCUGUGUAAUUCAGGCUGACCUUGAACUUACUAUGUAGCCCAGGCUAUUCUCAAACUCAGCAGUCCUCCUGAGUGCUAGGACUACAGGCGUGUGUCACCAUGCUCAGCCUCCAGGAGAUUCUUCCUUAAAAAAUAAUACAGUCAUAUAACAACACAUACUAUAAAAUAUACAUAGUUGCAAUCAUACUAAUAAUAGCCAAAUAGUAAAAACUAAUUUACUGGGAACUGUAGUGUUGCAGCUAAAUAAAUGAUGGUGCAUCAAAUUAAUA